rnacentral:lncRNA from 1 species
AUUUAAUUGUAUUUCUAUACACUAGCAACAAACGUUGUGAAAACAAAGUUAAGAAAACAAUUCCAUGAAAAAGAAUAAAAUACUUAGGAAUAAAUUUAGAAAAAGAAGUGCAAAAUUUAUACUCUGAAGACUAAAAUAUAUUGCUGAAAGAAAUUAAAGAUGAGUUACUUAAAAUGGGAAGAUACGUGAUGUUCAUGGAUCAGAAGAUUUAACAAAUUGUUAAGAUGGCAAUACUCCUCAAAUUGAUCUACAGAUUCAGCACAACCCUUAUCAAAAUCCCACUUGGUUUUCCUGCAGAAGUUGACAAGCUGGUCCUAAAUUCAUUCAAGGGACCCAGAAGAGUCAAAACAGUCUUGAAAAAGAAGAACAAAGUUGAAGGACUCGAACAUACUCUUUUAAAAACUUACUACAAAACUACAGUAAUCAAGACAGCUUGGUAUUGGCAUAAAGAUAAACAUAUAGGCCACUCCACACAGAAAAGCUCCACUGAUGUAGAGAAGACCUCAUUACAGACAAACAAGAUGAUGAGAAUUAAGCAUCCCUAUGGACAAAGCCAAUUAGAAAAGACGAUGGUAACCGAAGCUGUAUAGUAACGUAAACAGUCUGGGAGAGCAACUUCUCAUUUUGGCGUAAUUGAGAGAGGAAAAUGACCCAACUCUAUUUGCUAAAGUGCCACAUACUGGAUACGAUGGAGCAUGAUAUCAAAUUUAUUUCCAGCUCUUCAGAUCCUGAAGAUUCAGAACUCUAUCUGACAAGCCAAAAUGGGUUAUCCUGAGAAAGAACUUGAAACUAAGAUUUAAGAUGGAUUUCAUAUUCUCUACCUUUGGGUAUUUUUAUUGGAAAGAGCAUGACACGGGUAGAACAGGAAGAAAAGGUGGUCAUCUCCAGGUCUUUGCUCUACAUGAAUUUUCCUGAGUAUCCAGAUACUUAGAAACAUCUGAAUACUUAAAUGGGACUAAUACAAUAUUUGGGUGACUGAAAACAUUGUUUCUUUUACAUAGAAAUAUUUGGACAUUUUGCAUAGGUUAUCUAAAAUAUCAAUGAUAUAAGGUAACAUAUCAAACAUAUGCUUUGUUCUUGGUGUGAUCCUUGUCUUCACUUGCUCGCAUGAUAGUGACUUUAGUUUGGAUGAUGUAGUGGUGCCUAGAUUUCCAACUAUGUCAGAAGAAUGGACUAAUAAUUCCACUCUGGCAGCCUGACUCACUGUAAACCCAUGGCUAAAAAGGCACACAGACCUACAGAGAAUGACAGCAUCAAUGGUAUGUUAUAGAAACUCAUGCUGCACUUCUCAAAAACAAAGUUUUCUGUCUUCACAGCUUUCAAUAUAGCACCUUGCACUGAUACUAAAUUUGCUGAUUGUUUUUUAAACAAGGAAGAAGUAUACAAACAGGGAAAUAAGGUGCCUGCAACACCCCCUGUUGAAAGCUGCAUUACUUAUUCUGCUAGAAUGAGUUUAUAUUGGAUAAAUCUAGUACGACGUGAAAACCCUAUUUCCAGCUGAGACUUAAAGAUGUUUUACUAAAACAUGCUUAAGCAAAUGCAUUUUGACGCCUCACGAGGAAGAUACACACAGAGCUAUCUGUAGAAGUUCAAUAAUUUGUGUAUUGGCAGCUGAAGAAAGAUGUUCUCUUUCUGAUUUGCACUCAAAGAUUUGCAUUGACUUAAUUUAAAAUUCAUGGUAUGCACAGUAGAAAUGGUUAAAUAUGACUUUUGGAUGAUAACUAACAAGGGAAAGUAACUUUUCCUUUCCUGUUCAGUAGUUAGCUAUGCUACUGAAACUCCACAUGCUCACCCAGAAACUGUCCUUUUAGCAGAGGGUCCCUUCACCGUGACAGCCUAAGACAAUGGGACUGCUCCUUCAACUGGCCUCUCUCCACCUUCCAGGAUCCCGAAAGUUUUGAAAUCCACCUCAAGCCCAGGCAGUAGCAAACUGGGAGAGGAAUUGAAGAAGCAAAAAUAAAUAUUAAAGUACAGAAGAAUUAAAUAUUACCUAUUUAAAUGGCAAUUAGGCAGUUGAAAACAAGAUCAUCACACCUGUACAAGAAAAGGCAUACAAGCCCAAAACAUCUGCUGGGAUCCACCUGCCAGGCACCUGUUUUGCUGUUUCAAUGCCAUUUGAUUGCUGGAGAUGUAGAGGCUCUUGUGAG